rnacentral:rRNA from 1 species
UACGUAGGGUGCGAGCGUUGUCCGGAAUUAUUGGGCGUAAAGAGCUUGUAGGCGGUCUGUCGCGUCUGCUGUGAAAAUCCGGGGCUCAACCCCGGACUUGCAGUGGGUACGGGCAGACUAGAGUGUGGUAGGGGAGACUGGAAUUCCUGGUGUAGCGGUGAAAUGCGCAGAUAUCAGGAGGAACACCAGUAGCGAAGGCGGCACUCUGGGCCGGUACUGACGCUGAGGAGCGAAAGCGUGGGGAGCGAACAGG